AGCGAACGCUGGCGGCAUGCCUAACACAUGCAAGUCGCACGGGGGGGCUUCGGCCUCCUAGUGGCGGACGGGUGAGGAACGCGUAGGGACCUGUCGAGGGGUGGGGGAUAACCGCGGGAAACUGCGGCUAAUACCGCAUGACGCCGCGGCGUGACAGCCGGGGCCAAAGGCGAAAGCCGCCCGCCGAGGGGCCUGCGUCCGAUUAGCUGGUUGGCGGGGUAGCGGCCCACCAAGGCGUCGAUCGGUAGCUGGUCUGAGAGGGUGAUCAGCCACACCGGGACUGAGACACGGCCCGGACUCCUACGGGAGGCAGCAGUGGGGAAUAUUGGACAAUGGGCGCAAGCCUGAUCCAGCAAUGCCGCGUGGGUGAAGAAGGUCUUCGGAUUGUAAAGCCCUUUCGGCGGGGACGAUGGUGACGGUACCCGCAGAAGAAGCCCCGGCUAACUUCGUG
rnacentral:rRNA from 1 species